GAUGAACGCUAGCGGCAGGCUUAAUACAUGCAAGUCAAGGGGGUAGCAAUACAACCGGCGCACGGGUGAGUAACGCGUACACAACAUACCAUAUACUGGAGUAUAGCUUUGGGAAACUGAAGGUAAUCCUCCAUAACAUUGCGAGAGGGCAUCUGAUUGCAAUUAAAGUUUCGGCGGUAUAUGAUUGGUGUGCGUUUGAUUAGCUAGUUGGUAGGGUAACGGCCUACCAAGGCGACGAUCAAUAGCUGGCGUGAGAGCGCGACCAGCCACACUGGAACUGAGACACGGUCCAGACUCCUACGGGAGGCAGCAGUAGGGAAUAUUGGACAAUGGAGGAAACUCUGAUCCAGCCAUGCCGCGUGAUAGAUGAAGGCCCUCUGGGUUGUAAAUAUCUUUUAAUCUGGGAAGAAACACUCCUAUUCUUAGGAACUUGACGGUACCAGAGGAAUAAGCACCGGCUAACUCCGUGCCAGCAGCCG
rnacentral:rRNA from 1 species